GAAUAUUAUAAAUUAUGAUAAACAACAAGAGAAGAAUGAAUAUCAAGGCAGCCAUUUUACAUUAUUCGCGCGCAUGCGAUUAUUUUUCAGAAAUAUCACAUUAAAUGAUUACAGAUUUUUAUUCUUCGUAUAAAAUGAUUAAGCUUUUUAUGCAUGUGAAAUAUAAUUUAAAAGCAUGUACAACUUUUUAAUUCGCUAAUAUCAAAUACGAUGUCGCAAUAAAUAAUAUAUAAAAUUGUUAGAGUAUUUGUGAAACGGUUAAGCUGUCUCGCAGUUGUCUGGCCGUCUAGUCCGACUUUGUCAGGGUCGUUCCAAAGAAUGAGUAUCGUGAUGAUUAUUUCAUAUUUGUUCUUUCACUAAGUUUGAAAGAAGUGUUAAUAGGAAGAACAUCCCUUUCUAUCGUCUUAGAUAGAUAUAUCAGAAAUGAUACGUCCCAAUAUUUCUUUUGAGCAAAAAAAAAAAUGAAAGUCAUUAAUUUAUCUUUCCGGAUAUACAUAAAAAAAGAAUUACAAUUAAAAAAAAUUAAUUAUAUAUUUUUUUUGUUUUUUUAUAAUCAUUGUCACAUUAAUAAAUUUUGGAAAGAUUAUGAAAAAGAUUUAUAUUUUCUCAUAAUUAAAAAACAUUAAUGUUGAAAAUGUGAACAGAUAAUUCGUAAAAAAGUUAUGCAUGAGAAUUAUGUCCUUAAGCAAAAAAUAAUAAAAAAUAUCGAAUUAAACAUUACAACGGAAAUAUAUUCUCAGAAUUUAAUGCUUUUAUAUUUUUUCUUUUUUUCAUUUAUUUGAAAUUAAUUUUUUAAUAUUUUUCAUAAAAAAAAUGAUAGAUUUAUUCAACAUAUUUUUCUCAUUUUCAUAGAAUAUAGACAUGCAAGAUUUUUAGAGAAUAAUUAACAUACUUUCUCGAUCUGAUUUCCAUUUUUUCAACAUCAAUUUUUUCAAAUUUUUAUUUUUUAUUAAAAAGCUUCAUUAUUUUAUUAAUUUUUUUCUAUAAAAAUAUAAAUUAAAAUGUUAUAGUAAAAAUACAAAGGUAAGAAAUUUUAUCAAUUAAUUUCAUUUAACACUAUGUUUAUGAGAUGUACAUGAAUUGCAUAGAAAUAUGCAUAGAAAUGAAGUUGCAUAUACAUAGAGAAAAAAGGAGAAAAAAAUAGAAUAUACAAAUGAUGUUUCAUUGUAACAGAGAAGAGUAGUUGAAAAACAAAAUGAAAUAAUGAUCAUGUUUAAAUAUACUAAUUAAUCGAAUAGAAUAGAUGAAUGCAAGUAUUUUUUUGAAUAUCUGUUUAACAAAUAUAUAUCAAUAUCUGUUUCCAAAAUUUAUUUUAUUUGAAAAUUUGUAUUAUAUUUGCAUUAUGAUUCUAUAUCUUUGAAUUUCUUUUGGUUCAUCCUAUGAAAUGACUAAUUACUUUUUAAUUAUGCGAGUAAUUUAUCACUGUAUCAUUGUCAUGUUAUUUUAUUUAAUGCCAUAAGUCGAAUUAUGGGUUUCAUUAUAAAAAUAAUAUAUGAAAUCUUAUUUAUAUAUGGAUAUAAAUAUAAAGAUGAGAGUGCGUUAUUCAAUAAUGUAGAAUUUUGUAGGAGUAGGGUGCGUUGAUCGAUGAACACGGCCCUGCAGACAGUACGUAUCCCUUUCCCCUACCAACGUCGGACUAACCACCAAACCUUCACCACAUCUCCCAUCUGCCUUGGUACGUUAUUGGCACUGGCUAAUGGCUGAUGCGAAUUUGCCGUGGUUCGACAGAGAGAGACACUAGCAGGAAUCACGAUAAAGCAUGUAGAAUAAAGAAUACGAAGAAGGAAAAACAGGAAAGAGUAGAGGAGUAUUUUGUAUCUUCGUUGCACAUUGUUUCGAAAUAGAACAAAAGAUGUAGAAAAAAUAAUUACGAAUAAAAAAAAAUGUAAUUAACUUAACUUAAACUUCGUUUUGAGGAUACAAAAUUUUUAAUUUAUUUUUAUGUUUUUUUAUAAUAUUUAACAAGUAAAAUCUAAAAAUAUAAGUUUUAAUGUUAGAAAAUACAAUGUAAGAAAUACAAUGUAUUUCCUAACACAUAACAUAAAUACGUUAUUAUUCCUAACGUAUAAUAUAUAAAUACAUUAAUAAAAAUUAUAAAUAUUUAAACAUAAUUCUAUUGUUAAUCUAAACCUUUUGAAAUGACACGUAUGAUAGAUUUAAGUAAAAAUUCGUUUUUUUAAUUUUUUUUUUAUAUUUCUAAUGAUAAAGACACUUAUUAUAAUAGAAAAUGGCAGAAAAAUAUUUCGAAAAAAUAUAGGAGCAAGAUAAAUGAAAUGAAUAAUAAAUGAAUAAUAAAUAUAAAUAAUAACUAUAUAUAUAUAUUAUAUGAUUGCUUUUCAUAUUACGCUGCCGCAAUCUAUUCCAUCUAGUAAUAGCUAGUUUCCAGGGCAAAUAAUUGCCUAAUGUACAAAUUUCAGCUUUGAUUGCCAUUAACUAAUCAACGAGAUUGGACCAAGUUCCUUUUGAACCUAUUUACUGGAAAAUCGACCUAGAAGCGCGAUCAAAGAGCAUGGUUUCGUCUGCGUUUAUAUUCCGUACGAAGAAGUAGAUGUGACCUAUGUUUGAUCAGCCAUCGAUAUACAAUUUCUAUUCGAUUUGUCAUUGUUUUGGCUAUCUAUAGGGUAAUGACCAUCGAGAAAAAAAGACAAUUCAAUUUUAUUAUUUCAAGUGGACCAUAUCCAAAUGUCUUCGUCUGUGUUCGAGAUAGUUGAUUUCAUUGGCGCAAUGGAUACAUGAAUCAUCGGCGAAUAAAACAUUAAAUCGAGAUGGUAUAAUAACGAAAGCGUUUGCAAGAUAUCACGAUAUUAUUCUAAAACGUUAAGAUGUAGAAUUAAUUUAGAUGCUCUUGUAUAAUAAUUUCAUCAUUUUAAGAUUUUAAAAAGUUGCAUUCAUUGUCAUUGUAAAAAUUGUGUGCAUAGAUUAUUCUAGAAUGAGAUACAUUCUUGUUGUUUAACGAAUAUUUUUCUCAAGAAAAGAAGACCAUGAUAGUACACGUAGUGCUGAACUUAACGACGACAUUGCUUGCUCGAAAAUUAUCUAUAGAGGACAUUCGAUAUCUCUUUCACGACAGCUUUAUUCUGAUCAGAUUCUAUAAGCAUGUAAUAUUUUUCAGAAACGAAUGCAUAUAUCAACGCAUUUGCAUAAAUCUUAAUCUUCCUUUAAGAAGUCCAAUCAUUUCUCAGAAUAGAGAACUUGCUUCUUGCUCACGUUGCAACUUUUAUUUCGCGACAAUAACUAUUCGUAUUUCUAUCUGGAUGUCUGGACACGUAACGAAUGUAGAAUGUUAUCAAGCUUGAGAGGAGUCGUAUGAAUAUCUGACUUCUGCAGAGUAUUCACACGAUACAUUCGUCAGUAUAGCAUAGCGGACCGUGGAGUAAUUACUAAAUGAGAUCUCGUUCAAGGGAUAAGCUUCUCCGAAAGACGGUACAGGUGUUAAAGAGAAGUCAAGCUUGAAAGUUUUAUACGAGAAUGUAGUGGUUGAUUCAUAAUGGCGAUAGUGUAUGCACGGUGUCAAAAACUGGAUAACGGUAGUACGAACGUUGUAUGUAAUGUUUCGUGCAUUGUGCCAGAUCAGUACGAUAAUAAUCGUUCGAACUAGACUGGCAGCCAAGCAGUCCAGCGGUAAGCAAAACGCAAGUAGCAGCGCCGGCUACGAGCUAUUCGUUCAGUUCGUUCGUCGGGUGAAGGACCCAGUCUCUCCCUCUUCCUUCUCCCUCCCUCCACUUCUCUCCCACAUUCCCCUUCCACGGGAAAUGAUCGUUCUCUAUCUAGCUUGCAUGUAUUUCUCUCGAUCUCUUUCUUUCUUCCUCUUCGUUAUCCAUUCGUCCUUUCUUGCUUUCUCUUGAUGCUUCUCUCUCUGUCUGUCCCCACUGCAGACCCAUCCCCUUGUCACCUAUCUGCCUCCAGUCAUCCUCUCCCCCUCCCCUUGGCACCCCACUGGUCCGUCCUCCAUCACCAGCCAUCUCUGCAAUUCUACUGCCGCAGUCCAUACACAUCAAACGAUACCACCUGGUUUCUCAAAUUGCGACGUCCACUGGAUCCAAAUGAAAUUACACACAAUCCUACCAGCUCCCACUAGCUUUUUCAUUUUCUUCUUGCUCUCGCGGAAUUUAGACACGUUUGAACUGGCAAUGAAGAUUUUUCACGGUUUUCACGAUUCGAGCUGCUAUUACCUUUUAUAUCUUUUUCGAAGAAGUCAUUAAAAUUUGUCGUACUUUUCGUCGAUAAUCUUCGCAAUAUACUAUCUGAUUAUUGUCGCAAAAAUAAGGUGCAAUUUUUAUCUUCAUCAUUUUAAAGUCAAUGCGAAGAAAAGCUUCUAUCCAUCUUUAUUAUAUUGAUAUAUGCGGUCUUUCUCUUUUUACAAUGCAUCCAAUGUUUCCUUUUACAUUCUCUCAAAGUGAAUCGGCUAUUAUACUUUUGUAAUCACUCGACAUCUAUGGGUAGAAUGCUGUAAAUUCGUGGUCGUAAAAUUAUAUUGCUAAAUGAAUUCAGUUGCACGAAUAAAUAUGACUUCAAGUCGCGUGCUGCAUAACGAGACAAAAGAGUUCCUUUGUAUGAAACCGAUUUGUAAACUAAAAAUCUCGUCAAUUCGAUUGGCUGAUUUAUUAAUUGAUAUUCAAUGAAAACGUUUUGAUUCCCCGUGACUCUUUAAAGAACCCCCUCUCCUCUUUGCGUCAAAAGAAGUUUUAUAUUACGCUCAUAGCUUACAUUUCCAUUUAGCUUCGAUUUCAGAACACUUUAAAAGUUCUUCGAUAAUUGGACGCACAAUAUUCCUGAAGAUAUAGAAAGAGUAAAGUAAUAUCAAAACCAUAAUACGAUAAUAUUACUUUUGCGCGCGUUGCAAUUUCUAUGAGGCAAGAAAGAGAUUGGCGCCGGGCGCUUCCAAUUGCACCAGAUCGCGUAAUAACACGACUAAGGACUACGUGCAUAUAUCCGUACAUGUAUACCGCAAAGUCUUCAGAAUAUCGAAGCAUUAAUACCACGACGAAACGAAGCCCUCGAGUAUGCGCGUUUCGCUGCAACAAUUUCCUUGAUCGAUAGUUUUGCCAACAAAUAGAAACGUUCUCUAUAUCUUUCUAUUCGCAUAAAAAUAAAAUUCGAGCAAUCGAAUCGAUUAUUAUAAAUCUUUAUUAUUAUUUAAUUCGAUUACUAUUUAAUCUUGUACAAAUUUAAUAAAAUUUAAUAAAAAAUUUACUAAAAAAAUUGUCGCAGUCUAAAUUAGUCUAAAAUUACUUUAAACGUCGUUAACAUUUACGUCUUAAAAAGAUGGCAAUUAGUAUAUACAUAAUUUCACUACGCGAGGAGAUGUUUCAUGAUUUCUGAGAACGAGCUAAAUUUUGGUGUAUUCCGUAGUCGAUGGUCCCGCGACACUUAAACAUUCGCAAAGGCAGGACCGUGAAUUGCACGCACGGAUAAAGGCGCGACCGUGGCGAUUCCGACAGGAAUUCCCGAUGAGAUGGGCGGAAAGUACAAAGGUUCGACGCGCUUCGGCGGUUCUCGGUACGGUGGGCUUCCGGUCGAAUUCGGCUAGCUCCGAUCGGCCUCGUGCGCACUCGUCUAGGAUCGGGCCGCCCAGUGGGAUCUACAUCGUCAGAACGGGUAGUAGCGGCGCGCCGCGAGACCGGCAGUUUUGCGCCCCGUGCAACGGCCAAUCGGCCAGUUCGUCGCCGGCUGUUCGUGAAAGAGUGUCGAGUUACAUCAGCAAAUAUUGUCCAAAAUCGAGCUGCCUACUCGAAGAACUACGCAGCGUUCUUUUCAAAUAAGAAUCGAUUGGUAAACGUGUACCGGCCAAACGAGACGCAAAAGAAUGUACGAUUCGCGAAAACAGUCGCAUUGCCGUUAGAUGAGUCACAAUUCUCGACAAACGCCUCUGUUCAACGAAUGCAUCGACUUUCACGGAUGUGUAUAACCGCGCGAGUUGGUUGGUCUCUUCUACGGAAUCUUGACUCAUCCACCGGACUUACAGCGGAAGUUUCUUAACGGUCGUGACAUAGGUUCAUUCUGCACAGGAGAUAUAUAAGUACAUGGUCUCGACGUCAGACUUCCGGUAAAGAUUAUGUCGAAGUCGAAAGGUCUGUUUUACCCGUUAAGUGGGAUCAUCGAACGUGUGUACGCGAUCGAUUUUACAUCGUACUAUCGGACUCUGAUUUUACGCACUGCACGCUUUAAAUUCCAGCAGAGGCUCAGUUGAUGAGGAAAAAGUUUCAUUUAUUGGUAAAGGUUCGAUAUUGGAUCGAUACCGAUAUUAGAUAUCGUAAGGAGACCACCGUGCUAGUUAUCGCGGACAGGCUACAACCGGUUUUGUACUUUGGUCGACGAGAAAUAAUUGCAGACACGAAGUACGAAUUCACUUGGUAUAGAGAUUCAGACAGCAUUCAAGCAAUCGAGAUUAUCGAUGGCGUAUAGUAUGUUAGAUGGUAACAAUGUCGGAAGGAGUGGCGGCGGCGUUAUUGGCGUCGAUGAAGCCGAAACACGAAUCGGGGAUCGCAGAAAUGCCAUUCAGUCGGCUAACAAUGGAUCGAUGCAUUCUCUAUCGAAUAACGAGGCAUUCAAACGACAACUAGUGGUAUUUUCGCGUAGUUGAUACGACGGAUCAUGGCUUGUCUUUUCGUUUCGAUAAAAUUUGUUCGCUUAAAAAAUUGGCUAGAAAAAUUUGCGUGUCUAAAAUAUGCCGGUGGUGCAAUAUUCUAAUUAUCCGCAUAACGUUCGUGACUGUAUCGGUGAUCAAAGGUCCGAUGACUAUCUUUCAAAUAACCUAUCGUGAGGAAUAAUACUGCGGUUUAAUAUCGAAGUGCUUGAAGUACGAUUUUUUAUGUUACGUAUACUUAUCGGAAACAUCACGACAACGUUAUUAUUUAAAAUCGCCGCUUAGGUAAAGUUUAGAUUAGACCGGGAGUUUAUCGAUUAAACAUAUCGUGGCUUUUCAUGGAAAUGUUUCGGUAAGACAAAAAUCAAAUACGUAUCUACAUUUUAAAUGAUCUUAAGUCGAUCGGAAGGGAAAUUUUUGAAAAACUUGUGCGUGCAAUUGGUAAAAUGUAUGAAAAUAAAAUGUGGAAAACUUUCUAGAGAAAAUCUCUUAUUAUCAAUACAAUUGUAUUUAUUAGUGUGUAAACGCAAAAUAUUUAAAAAUUCCAAUUACUCGAGCGUUUUUGCAUCUCUGAUUAAAGUAAAGCGUGAUGACGAUCGUAUCACCAUACUUGUAAUUGUGAUACUAUUUAUCGUGCUAUGAUUGUAUGUUAGUGGUACGAUAAAUAGAGAGAGGAAGAAGAGUAGUUGGAAGAGAAUUUCCAACGAAAAAGACGAACAGUUACACACGUCGUAUUGUACGUAGUGGUGUAAACGUGGUGGUUGCCUUCUUGGUUGCCGGCGUCUGCAACCUUGCCCUCUUCCAUCCCUCCCCCCUGACUUUCAUCCCCUCCAUACACCCUGCAAUCCAUUCGAUCCUUUCCCCUUAUCUCGAUCCAACGCUGUCGCGGUUCUCUUCUUUCUUCCCUCCCACCCUCUGUCUGGCUCCUUCGCUUUGAUUCAUCGAAGUCCUCGCCCCUCGCCUCUUACCCCGCAAUCGUCGACGUUUCCCGGCCUAUUAUCGUCACUCGUCGACGAAGAACGGGAAAGAGGGAACGCGACGGGAAGCAAGAGGGGAGACUUUCCUUUACCUCCACCAACGAGUGUAGGAGUUUCAAUGUCACGAUGCGUCGGCCACUGCGAAGGAACUACCGCUCCAGGAAUAUUACCAUUCAUCAGAUUCGUGUAAUCUCCGUGCACGUUUCGCGUCGCCUCGUUGUUAAUUGGCUUAUACAUUCCUUCGCGUCUUUCAUUUCGUUUGAAUUUCUUUCUUUCAUUUCCUUUCUUUCACGUACGAAGAAAUCGGACGAUAAAAAUAGUCCUCUUCAAUUUAGUGUUCGGACAGUUCUACUUUAUUGUCGGAAACGAUUGAAACGUGUUGCGCGUUAACAAUUUGAUUUAAAGGUGGGAAAAUUGUGCGAAAUUAUCAACUCGAAUCUUAUCUUUUAUUGACUUUUGUGAAUUUCUCAACUAUCUUCCAAUUAUCAAGAAAUUUCUGUAACAGAUGAUAUGAGUUUAAUCAUCGAUAUUAUACGUUAAUAUUUGUGUGAAAAGUUUAUAUUACUAAGCAGUGAUAUUUUAUGUGACAAGUUUAGAUUAGCAAUUAUCGUUGUGAAAAUUGAGCGUAUAAUUUGUUAGAGAUCCAAAAUGCAACGUGGAUUUAUGAUCGAAUUAUACGAAAGUGUAUAAUGUUGUGUAACGAUUGCGAGAAGAGAAAUCUAAGUAACUAAGCAUCGAAUAUUAGAGACUUUGAUCGUUUCUUUAUACGUGUUUAUUAAACGUUUUUCUUUCGAUGACGUUCCUUCGAGACAUUUACAACAACUCCUGUCAUCAAUCGGUUUAUUUAUGCAACGAAUUAACUGGAAUAUCAUAAUGUAACAAGUAUGUGUCGAUAUGUGUUUCUCUGACGUGUCGAAUAACGAUGAGUAACGAACAAUGUCAUGCACAAUUCUUAUUGGGACGCCAAUACGCUUAUACGUGGAUUAAUAUAAAUUAAGUUCAUUGUAAAUCUAUCAAUUAUUUUUUAUGUAAUAUAAAUUUUACUUUAUAGCAUUAAAAGAUAUAAUUUUAAUC